AUGGACUCCGGCGCGCUCCUGCCCCCGGGUGAGCCGUCAACCACCAGCAAGCCCGGCGGCCGCGGCGGAUGGCCAGCCGCGCUCUUCCUCAUAGCGGUGGAGUUCGUGGAGCGCGUCGGCUUCUACGGCGUGCAGGGCAACCUGAUCAUGUACCUCACCGGCCCGCUGGGUCUGUCCACCGCGGCGGCCGCGGCCGGCGUGAACGCCUGGGCCGGGACGGCGUCGAUGCUGCCGCUCCUUGGCGCGCUCGCCGCCGACUCGUGGAUCGGCCGGUACCGGGCCAUCGUGGCCGCCGGCGUGCUCUACCUCGUGAGCUUUGGGAUGCUGACGGUGUCAUCCAUGGUACCACUACCACCACGUCAACCUCAACCAGCAGUAUCGCCGGCGGCGUCCCCUUCCCGCGCGGCGUUCUUCUACGCCACGAUCUACGUGGUGGCGCUGGCGCAGGGCUUCCACAAGCCCAACGCGCAGGCCCUCGGCGCGGACCAGUUCCCCCGGAGCUCCCCCGACAGCAUCGCGUCCCGGAGCUCUUUCUUCAACUGGCUCCACUUCUCCAUGUCCUGGGGCUUCAUCGUCGCCGUCGUCGCGCUAAGCUACGUGCAGGACAACGUCGGCUGGGCUGCCGGGUUCGGCGCGUGCUGGGCAAUGAUGCUUGUGUCCAUGUCCUUGUUUUUGCUCGGCACGAGCAUGUACCGUGUCGCCGAGCAGCCACGCGGCCGCCAUGCUCUCGCGCGGCUCACGAAAACGCUUGCAGCCACGGUGCGUGCAUGGACAGACAUUGUCUUUCGUCGCAGAGACGCCGCCAUGGACGAUGAAUGUUUACUGACGCCAAAAGAGCAGGAAGGCAAGGGGGUCAUGGUGAAGCUGCUUCCGAUAUGGAUGACCAGCGUCGUGUACGCAAUGGUGAUCGUGCAGGUGUCCACUCUGUUCACCAAGCAGGGCAGCACCAUGGACCGGCGCAUCGGCGCGACCACAGGCCUAGUCGUGCCCCCGGCGGCGCUGCAGAGCUUCGUCGGCCUCACCAUCAUCGCCUCCGUCCCUGUCUAUGACCGCGCCUUCGUGCCCCUCGCUCGGCGCGUCACCAAGCACCCCUCCGGGAUCACCAUGCUCCAGCGCAUCGGCGCCGGCAUGGCCAUCGCGUCCGUCGCCAUGGCCGUCGCGGCGCUCGUGGAAGCCGCGCGCCUCCGCGCGGCGAGGGACGCCGGCCUGGUCGACAGUCCGGGGGUGACGGUGCCGAUGAGCCUGUGGUGGAUGGUGCCACAGUACGUGUUGCUCGGCCUCGCUAAUGUGUUCACAAUGGUGGGCCUGGAGGAGUUCUUCUACGACCAGGUGCCCGACGCCCUCCGAAGCGUCGGGCUCGCGCUCUGCAUGAGCAUCAUGGGCGUGGGGAACUACGGUAGCGGUAUGCUCGUCUCGGCGAUCGACUGGGCGACGAGGCGCACGGGGGAGAGCUGGUUCUCGGACAACCUCAACCGUGCGCACCUCGACUACUUCUACUGGGCUCUGGCCGGGGUCGCUGCUCUGGAGGUGCUGGUUUUUCUCUAUUUUUCCAAGCGAUACGUGUACACAAAAAAAUGCGAGCUUGUAAUGUAG
rnacentral:rRNA from 1 species